rnacentral:rRNA from 1 species
AUUGAACGCUGGCGGCAGGCCUAACACAUGCAAGUCGAACGAGUGGCGGACGGGUGAGUAAUGUCUGGGAAACUGCCUGAUGGAGGGGGAUAACUACUGGAAACGGUAGCUAAUACCGCAUACCAUCGGAUGUGCCCAGAUGGGAUUAGCUAGUAGGUGGGGUAAAGGCUCACCUAGGCGACGAUCCCUAGCUGGUCUAAGAGGAUGACCAGACAAACUGGAACUGUGACACGGUCCAGACUCCGACGGGAGGAAGAAGUGGGGAAUAUUGCACAAUGGGCGCAAGCCUGAUGCAGCCAUGCCGCGUGUAGGAAGAAGGCCUGCGGGUUGUAAAGUACUUUCAGCGGGGAGGCGUUACCCGCAGAAGAAGCACCGGCUAACUCCGUGCCAGCAGCCGCGGUAAUGC